rnacentral:rRNA from 1 species
GAUGAACGCUGGCGGCGUGCCUAAUACAUGCAAGUCGAGCGAACGGACGAGAAGCUUGCUUCUCUGAUGUUAGCGGCGGACGGGUGAGUAACACGUGGAUAACCUACCUAUAAGACGGGGAUAACUUCGGGAAACCGGAGCUAAUACCGGAGAAUAUUUUGAACCGCAGGGUGCAAAGGUGAAAGACGGUCUUGCUGGCACUUAUAGAUGGAUCCGCGCUGCAUUAGCUGGUUGGUAAGGUAACGGCUUACCAAGGCAACGAUGCAUAGACGACCUGAGAGGGUGAUCGGCCACCCUGGAGCUUGGACACGGUCCAGACUCCUACGGGAGGCAGCAGUAGGGAAUCUUCCGCAAUGGUCGAGAGCCUGACGGAGCAGCGCCGCGUGAGUGAUGACGGUCUUCCGAUCGUAAAACUCUGUUAUUAGUGAAGAACAUAUGUGUAAGUAACUGUGCACAUCUUGACGGUACCGGAUCAGAAAGCCCCGGCUAACUACGUG